rnacentral:rRNA from 1 species
CCUACGGGUGGCUGCAGUGGGGAAUAUUGGACAAUGGGGGGAACCCUGAUCCAGCCAUGCCGCGCGUGUGAAGAAGGCCCUCGGGUUGUAAAGCACUUUCAGUGAGGAAGAACGCCUGGUGGUUAAUACCCAUCAGGAAAGACAUCACUCACAGAAGAAGCACCGGCUAACUCCGUGCCAGCAGCCGCGGUAAUACGGAGGGUGCGAGCGUUAAUCGGAAUUACUGGGCGUAAAGCGCGCGUAGGUGGCUUGAUAAGCCGGUUGUGAAAGCCCCGGGCUCAACCUGGGAACGGCAUCCGGAACUGUCAAGCUAGAGUGCAGGAGAGGAAGGUAGAAUUCCCGGUGUAGCGGUGAAAUGCGUAGAGAUCGGGAGGAAUACCAGUGGCGAAGGCGGCCUUCUGGACUGACACUGACACUGAGGUGCGAAAGCGUGGGUAGCAAACAGGAUUAGAUACCCUUGUAGUC